rnacentral:rRNA from 1 species
UCCAGACUCCUACGGGAGGCAGCAGUGGGGAAUAUUGCACAAUGGGGGGAACCCUGAUGCAGCGACGCCGCGUGGGUGAAGGAGUACUUCGGUACGUAAAGCCCUAUCAGCAGGAAAGAAAAUGACGGUACCUGACUAAGAAGCCCCGGCUAACUACGUGCCAGCAGCCGCGGUAAUACGUAGGGGGCAAGCGUUAUCCGGAUUUACUGGGUGUAAAGGGAGCGUAGACGGCAGUGCAAGUCCGGAGUGAAAGCCCGGGGCUCAACCCUGGGACUGCAUUUGGAACUGUGUGGCUGGAGUGUCGGAGAGGCAGGCGGAAUUCCUAGUGUAGCGGUGAAAUGCGUAGAUAUUAGGAGGAACACCAGUGGCGAAGGCGGCCUGCUGGACGAUGACUGACGUUGAGGCUCGAAAGCGUGGGGAGCAAACAGGAUUAGAUACCCCAGUAUCC